AAUAAUAAGUUCAUACAACCCCAAGAAUAUAAAAUCAAAUACAAAACCCUUAUCCCUUUGUUAGGGCUGCAUCCAGCCCUAGAGAGGAGAUCAGCCUUUCAUGGAGUGGUGGACGGCAGCAGUAGCACAGCAACGGGCUUCCAUCACGAUCGGCAUCCUUUUUCCUCCUUCCUUCCUCUCCUGAUUCUUUUUUUAUUUUUCUGGUAUUCCCUCCUGAGAAGAGAUGAUGGGAGAAAGGGGGCAGUCCCCUCCCCUGGUGGGGAAGAGGA
rnacentral:lncRNA from 1 species